GUAGGGAAUAUUGCACAAUGGAGGAAACUCUGAUGCAGCGACGCCGCGUGAGUGAUGAAGGCCUUCGGGUUGUAAAGCUCUGUUCUCAGGGAAAAAGAAAGUGAUUGUACCUGAGGAGAAAGGACCGGCUAACUUCGUGCCAGCAGCCGCGGUAAGACGAGGGGUCCAAGCGUUGUUCGGAAUUAUUGGGCGUAAAGCGGGUGUAGGUGGAUCUAUAAGUCAGAAGUGAAAGCCCCGAGCUUAACUUGGGAAGUGCUUUUGAUACUGCAGAUCUUGAAUGUGGGAGAGGAUCGUGGAAUUCCAGGUGUAGUGGUGAAAUACGUAGAUAUCUGGAGGAACACCGGUGGCGAAGGCGGCGAUCUGGCCCAACAUUGACACUGAGACCCGAAAGUGCGGGGAUCAAACAGGAUUAGAUACCCGGGUAGUCC
rnacentral:rRNA from 1 species